UACGUAGGGUGCGAGCAUUAAUCGGAUUUAUUGGGCGUAAAGGGCGCGUAGGCGGGGAAGUAAGUCAGAUGUGAAAUCCCGGGGCUCAACCUCGGAACAGCAUUUGAAACUACUUCUCUAGAGGAUAGGCGGAGAAAACGGAAUUCCACAAGUAGCGGUGAAAUGCGUAGAUAUGUGGAAGAACACCGGUGGCGAAGGCGGUUUUCUAGCUUAUACCUGACGCUAAUGCGCGAAAGCAAGGGGAGCAAACAGG
rnacentral:rRNA from 1 species